CCCCUGAAUUGAUUCUUCGGAUGAUUUUCAGUUGACUGAGCGGCGGACGGGUGAGUAACGCGUGGGCCCCCCGCCCCAUACCGGGGGAUAACAGCUGGAAACGGCUGCUAACACCGCAUAAGCGCACAGAGCUGCAUGGCUCGGUGUGAAACACUCCGGUGGUAUGGGAUGGGCCCGCGUCUGAUUAGGCAGUUGGCGGGGUAACGGCCCACCAAACCGACGAUCAGUAGCCGGCCUGAGAGGGCGACCGGCCACAUUGGGACUGAGACACGGCCCAAACUCCUACGGGAGGCAGCAGUGGGGAAUAUUGCACAGUGGGGGAAACCCUGAUGCAGCGACGCCGCGUGAGCGAAGAAGUAUUUCGGUAUGUAAAGCUCUAUCAGCAGGGAAAAUAAUGACGGUACCUGACUAAGACCCCCCCGCUAACUACGUGCCACCAGCCGCGGUAAUACGUAGGGGGCAAGCGUUAUCCGGAUUUACUGGGUGUAAAGGGAGCGUAGACGGCAAGGCAAGUCUGAUGUGAAAACCCAGGGCUUAACCCUGGGACUGCAUUGGAAACUGUCUGGCUCGAGUGCCGGAGAGGUAAGCGGAAUUCCUAGUGUAGCGGUGAAAUGCGUAGAUAUUUAGGAAGAACACCAGUGGCGAAGGCGGCUUACUGGACGGUAACUGACGUUGAGGCUUCGAAAGCGUGGGGAGCAAACAAGAUCCCAUACCCUGGUAGUCCACGCCGUAAACGAGGAAUGCUAGUGGUUGGGGAGCAAAGUUCUUCGUGCCGCCGCAAACGCAUAAAGCAUUCCACUGGGGAGUACGUUCGCAAGAAUGAAACUCAAAGGAAUUGACGGGGACCCGCACAAGCGGUGGAGCAUGUGUUUUAAUUCGAAGCAACGCGAAGAACCUUACCAAGUCUUGACAUCCCGAUGACCGGUUCGUAAUGGAACCUUCUCUUCGGAGCAUCGGUGACAGGUGGUGCAUGGUUGUCGUCAGCUCGUGUCGUGAGAUGUUGGGUUAAGUCCCGCAACGAGCGCAACCCUUAUCUUCAGUAGCCAGCAUUAAGGAUGGGCACUCUGGAGAGACUGCCAGGGAUAACCUGGAGGAAGGUGGGGAUGACGUCAAAUCAUCAUGCCCCUUAUGACUUGGGCUACACACGUGCUACAAUGGCGUAAACAAAGGGAAGCGAGAGCGUGAGCUUAAGCAAAUCUCAAAAAUAACGUCUCAGUUCGGAUUGUAGUCUGCAACUCGACUACAUGAAGCUGGAAUCGCUAGUAAUCGCGAAUCAGAAUGUCGCGGUGAAUACGUUCCCGGGUCUUGCACA
rnacentral:rRNA from 1 species